rnacentral:rRNA from 1 species
GUCUAUGGCCAUACCACCCUGAAAACGCCCGAUCUCGUCCGAUCUCGGAAGCUAAGCAGGGUCGGGCCUGGUUAGUACUUGGAUGGGAGAAAACACAAUCACUGUGGUACAGGUGAUGCUGUAGGAC